UUUGUGUAUGUAUUCAUUCCCUUAAACUUUUUAUUGCAUAUUCUUUUGUGGUUUUACCUCUUAAUUUAGUUAAACAGUUGUUGACCUGUCAUCGUGGUGCUUGCUCAGUGGGUGAACCUCUUGGCUGGCCCUCUCCCCUUCGUCCCUGCCUCCUUCAGGGUUCACGUAUGUUGGGUACAUACAUGUAAGCACGCUGCUUAAUUUUCUGAGUGGGGGUUCAUCUCACCUCACAUGGGGACUCCCAGUUCUGCUCAUUUCCUUGCCUCCCCCCUCCCCCAUCCUCCAGGCCUCUGCACCAGCCUUUCUCCUCCCCCAUCCUCCAGGCCUCUGCACCAGCACCCCCAGCUUCAGGCACCUGCCCUGACUGGUGGUGUAAGCUGUCAGAGAAAGUAAACAAACCCUUUCUUCUCCCAGUUUGCUCUUCCCAGGGUUCUGUCACACUAACAGAAACCUGCUGAGACACUCGUGAGCGGACAUCAUUGUGUGUCUCACACUUUCUGUUUUAAUUUUUGUGUAUGUUUAUGUCAGUAUAAUGUGCUUCCUUUUCAUUAUGUGGAGGUUGUACAUUUAUAAUCUAUCUUCUUCAAACUUUUCCAUGUGAUGUAUGUGUGUGUACCCUUGUGUGUACAUGUGGUGUGUAUAUAUGUGUAUAUGUGGUGUGUGUGCGUGGUGUGUGCACACGUGGUGUGUGUGUGUACCUGAGCAUGUGGUGUGUGUGUGUGUGUGUGUGUAGCUUGUAUGUGUGAACCUGUGUGCACGCCACAUUCAGUCUGUUUCUUAAGCUAAGUUAGUGUGCAAAGGAGUCCAGCUGAAGCACAGGCAGGAUGUUAUCACCUCACACCUGUGAAAGUGACCCUUUAAAAAGGUCAGCAGAGGCUGGGGCGAUGCUCGCCGGCUGCUCACAAGGCUCUCACACACGCACAACCCGGCUGCAGCUCCCUCUCCACGGCCUGACGCCCCCUUCCAGCCUCCUCGGGAACAGCACCCACAUCCAGAAACCACACAUAAACAAGUCUUCAAAAAAGAAAAUGUGGCCUAGAUACAGAUGGCGCAAAAUGAAGCUGUCCUGUUGAACUGUGAGGAAAAAUGACGCGAGGCCCGCUGGGCUGCGUGGGACUGUCCGUGGGUGAGAGCAGAGCUGAGCUCUAGCCCUCCACUGCCCGGUGGAAGAGGGGAGCUGACUUCUGUUUGUCCUCUGACCUGUUUGUCAUUGCUGUGACAAUCACGAACACACCAACAAUAAAUAAAUUACAUUCUUUUAAAACUUAAAAAAGAGAAUCAAGUUAUGUCGUUUUCAGGAAAAUGGAUAGAAAUGGAGGUCAUUGUGUUAAGACAAAGACAUAGACAGACAAACCCACCCUUUUCCUAAUGGUAGGCAUUUGGAUCGAGUUAUAAGAAGGGCCGAUCUGAUGGGGGCGGACAGGCUUUAGCUGGGGAAAGCAGGAACCCAGAGAGAAGGGAAAUGGGGAACAGGAGAGUAUUGUGGCGGUGAACAUGAGCGAAGUUCAGUGACCUCGUGUAGGAACACGCUGUGAUGAAAUCCUGUCUUUUCAGCCGCAGCCGAAUCAAGGGAUGGCCUACCGUUAUUCAGCACUGAAGGAUGCAUACCGCAUGUUGUUACUCAGACAUGGAAACAAAAAAGGCUGAAUUCUCAAGAGCCUUGUGGAACGUUGGGGACUCGGCUCAGAGGUUUCGGUUGGGUAUCUGUGAGUCAAUUGAUGGCCCUGACCCAAAAUAGCAACGUAUAGGCAAUAUGAUAAUAAUGAUAGUAAUAUCUUGACUGUUGAUACUAUUUCCACAGAAAGAGAAAGGUGCGUGCAGGCCACUUGUUGAAUGGUGUGUGGUGUGUCCCCCACCCAGACCCCGAGUUUCAAAAGCACAGGUGUGCUUUUGAGACCAAGUCAAACGAUUGAGCCUGAAGGAGAGGUGAUGAUUCACACAGAGGGGCUCACGAUCACUUACCCUUUUCCCCUUUCUCUUUCUCCUUCCCUCCAUCCUUUGUCUGAUUUGUUUGUUUGCUUUGUCUUUUGAGACAAGGUCACACUAUAAAGUCAAGACUAGCCUCAAAUCUGCCAAUCUCCUGCCUCAGCUUCCUGGGAAUGCUGGCUUGACAGAUCAAGUUGCUACACAGCCGACGUCAGCGAGGGAAACUUUCAAGGCUGUACCUGUUGACAUCAUCCAUGCCGACUGUGGAGAUCCCCCAGAAGCUCUGCCUUUAUUAAUAGCCCAGGCGCAAACUAUGAAAAGUGAAACAAGCCAUCCAGCAGCUGUGGUCAAGGGUAUACCCACUGAACGCCGAAGAAAGUCUCGUCAGCGUUGAGGGAUGGCCGCAGAGGCAGGCUGAGGGGAUGACCUUGGAGUCCCGACACUUCCACCUCUGCUGCCCGAGUUCUGGGAUGACAAGUGUGGACCAGCAGCCUGUCUCCCGUGGUGCUGGGUGUUGGGAUCAACAAGCAGGCAUUUUUACUGGCAGACCCGGCAGGUAUCAGGCAUUUGGAAAGACACCCAGACCACCUGCUGACCACCUGGAACCACCCGCACAUGCUCUGGACCCCCCUAUAAGAGAACUGGGGCCCUCCCCUCUUCUUCUCGCUCCUUCUUCUCUCUCUUCCUCUCUCUCGCUUCUUCUUCUCUCUCUCUCCUUCUCUAUCUCUAUCUACCUCCCUCUCUGUAACCCCCCUCUACCUAAU